UUUCCGUAGGUGAACCUGCGGAAGGAUCAUUAUUGAAAUAAAAACUUGGUUGGGGGUUGCUGCUGGCUCUCAGGAGCAUGUGCACACUCGCUCCAUUUUUUAAUACCACCUGUGCACACACUGUAGGCCUGAAUGAACUUUUUCGAGGUUUAAAAACUUUGGUUUGAGAACUGCCUUUGGGCUGUUCUUGUGUUCCCAGGUCUAUGUUUUAAUCAAUAUACUCCAUAACAAGUAAUAGAAUGUCAAAUUAUGGGCCUUUUGUGCCUUUAAACCUAAUACAACUUUCAACAACGGAUCUCUUGGCUCUC
rnacentral:misc_RNA from 1 species